GUCACAUUUAUAAUUUGUAAUUUGGGGAAAAUGUACUGCCAACCAAACUAGAAGCCCAACCAGAGCCCCAGGAGAAAAAUCACACCAACAAUCUGCCUGAGGAAGUAACACCAAAUAGCCGGGCCUCAGCGGGUCCAUGCACACAGCUGGCUUCCAAUCGGAUUGGCGACUGAACAGAGAUGAAUAGGAACCUGGAAAUGGCGGGAAACACUGAGGGAUCACUGUCUCUUGUGUGGAGCUCCAUGAGAAGGAAAGAAUCAGAGGAUCGUAUCCAUGGUGUGCAACAGCUUCCAGAUGUUAAUUGGCUAAAGCCUCACCUUAAGGUCUUAAAGUGACAACUGCCCUGCUCUUCUGCUACCUGCCGAGAGGCUGAACCUGUCUUCCUGAGACAUUCCUGAAUAAGCAACCAGCCUGGCAACCAAGUGCUGAUGGCAUGGCGGCAUGGCAACAAAGCACCAAGGAUGGAC
rnacentral:lncRNA from 1 species